rnacentral:lncRNA from 1 species
UGAAGCGCAACCGGAGCUCUGCGUCGCCCACUGACAGAUGUGCUUUCCAUGCGUAUUGGAGGUCUGUGGGUGAUGAGGACCAUAUCCACCUGGCAGGAUCAACAGAGGCAGAUGCACAGGUGUUGACAGCAGAAACGUGGGCCCCAAAAUGGGAAGCACAAGAGUGCCUGGCAGCAUUUAUCCUCAGUUCUUCCCCAAGGGCAUGUCCUGUUGAGAGCCGGUUUCACCUGUGCAGUGUGGCCUGAUGGCCCAGCAUCCAGGAGCUCUGCGCACCCUGCCGCCAUGGGCCAUCCGUCCCCAGACCUCUUCCCACAGGGUCACUGUGGUCCACCGUCCUGCCCUCGGGGAAUCUCGGCCUCCCUCUCACAGGCCCCGCCCACGGACUCAUUCACUGAUGCCAUCGCUGGACCCAAGUCAGUCAGAUGAACAGUAGGAUGGUGUCAGAGCCUCGACCUCGGGAAGCACAGGAUGAGAACAAUGCAGCUGCCUCCCCGGGCCGUCAACCCCAGCACGGAAAACUCACACUGGUCCUCACUCCAGCCUGAAUGCUCCUGCUGAGGCCAGCUCUGCUCUGUCCCAUUCUGUCAUCAUUAAAGAGAGAAGGGAUGGCCACAUCUACCUGGAAUAACCACUUCCUCCUCUGAACACAGCUCUCAUCUGGAGCCCCGACGUGUCAUAUUCCUCCACCUUCCUGGAGGGAGGAAGUGCCCCAGUAGGCUGACAGCUGAGCUUUAAUUCUGCUCCACAGCCAAUCCAGGUUUUCUCAAUACUAUCUCUGUGGAAAAGUGCAUAAAACAGCAAGAAUAAUUGGCAUAAAUGAGACAAAUGUAACCCAG